AUUGAACGCUGGCGGAAUGCUUUACACAUGCAAGUCGAGCGGCAGCACGGGGGCAACCCUGGUGGCGAGCGGCGAACGGGUGAGUAAUACAUCGGAACAUGCCCAGUCGUGGGGGAUAACACUUCGAAAGAAGUGCUAAUACCGCAUACGUCCUGAGGGGGAAAGCGGGGGAUCGCAAGACCUCGCGCGAUUGGAGUGGCCGAUGUCAGAUUAGCUAGUUGGUGGGGUAAAGGCCUACCAAGGCAACGAUCUGUAGCUGGUCUGAGAGGAUGAUCAGCCACACGGCGAAGGAGACACGGCCCAGACUCCGAAGGGAGGCAGCAGUGGGGAAUUUUGGGCAAUGGGGGCAACCCAAAUCCAGCCAUUCCGCGUGAGUGAAGAAGGCCUACGGGUUGUAAGGCUCUUUCGGCAGGAGCGAGACGGUGAGCUCUAACAUAGCUUGCUAAUGACGGAACCGGAAGAAGAAGCACCGGCUAACUACGU
rnacentral:rRNA from 1 species